UGCCCCGUAGCUCCAAUCGGCAGAGCAGCUCACUGUUAAUGAGACGGUUCCUGGUUCGAACCCAGGCAGGGCAGCCA
rnacentral:tRNA from 1 species